GAUGAACGCUGGCGGCGUGCUUAACACAUGCAAGUCGAACGAUGAAGCCCAGCUUGCUGGGUGGAUUAGUGGCGAACGGGUGAGUAACACGUGAGUAACCUGCCCUUGACUCUAGGAUAAGCCCGGGAAACUGGGUCUAAUACUGGAUAGGAACGUCUACCGCAUGGUGGGUGUUGGAAAGAAUCUCGGUCAUGGAUGGACUCGCGGCCUAUCAGCUUGUUGGUGAGGUAAUGGCUCACCAAGGCGACGACGGGUAGCCGGCCUGAGAGGGUGACCGGCCACACUGGGACUGAGACACGGCCCAGACUCCUACGGGAGGCAGCAGUGGGGAAUAUUGCACAAUGGGCGAAAGCCUGAUGCAGCGACGCCGCGUGAGGGAUGACGGCCUUCGGGUUGUAAACCUCUUUCAGUAGGGAAGAAGCGAAAGUGACGGUACCUGCAGAAGAAGCACCGGCUAACUACGUG
rnacentral:rRNA from 1 species